rnacentral:rRNA from 1 species
UACGGAGGGUGCAAACGUUGCUCGGAAUUAUUGGGCGUAAAGCGCACGUAGGCGGCCGAUUAAGUCGGGUGUGAAAGCCCUGGGCUCAACCCAGGAAGUGCACUCGAAACUGAUCGGCUUGAAUAUGGAAGAGGGUCGCGGAAUUCCCGGUGUAGAGGUGAAAUUCGUAGAUAUCGGGAGGAACACCAGUGGCGAAGGCGGCGACCUGGGCCAAUAUUGACGCUGAGGUGCGAAAGCGUGGGGAGCAAACAGG